rnacentral:lncRNA from 1 species
GGAACUUCAUCAAAGUCAGGACGCGGAGCAGCUUCCCCAGCUGGACCAUGCCGCUCCGGAUGCUGCUGCGGUAGCGGAGGCGGCGCUGGAGGGGAUGCUGGUGGGCUCUCCCAGGUCCCGGCUUCUCGAGAAAAAAUGGAAGUCUGCAACAGCCUUACCUUAAGUACUUGAUCAACUUCAUGAAAGUGUAGAUUGAUUCUUCUGGAGUUAAAACCUCACUUUUGGACCAAUAACUUACCAAGAGGCCAGAGAAGAAUUGGAUGUUCUCCAGCCCUGGAACUGGAGUCAUGGAUGUCUGUGAGCCACCACGCUGGUGCUGGGAGACUGAACAACCAACCAACCAACCAACCAACCAACCAACCAACCAACCAACCAACCAACCAACCAACAGCAAAAACAACAACAAAACCAUCUAGUUUUCAGCAAGUGCAUAAAGUGCUCUUAACCACUGAGCCAUAUCUCCUGCCUCAAUUUCAUCUGUUUUGUUUUGUUUUUCUAUGAUUUCUCUUUCCAUCAUACUUUGUGGAAAAACACUUUCUACUUUUAAUUUUUGUCUGUUUGCAUAUGUGUGUGGGUGUUUGUGGGCCAGAAGAGGGCAUAGUUAUCUCAUGUAGCUGCCACUGCAAGCAAUCUUGAGCAUCUCAGAAUGGGUGCUAGGACCCACACCUCCUCGGGAUCAGCAAUAGCUCUUAGCUGAUUAGCCAAACCCCAAUAUCUUCUAUGGAUACAUUUAAAUCUAAUUUUUUUCUAUAUGUGAGCAUAUUUAUGUAUAGGUAAGGCCUAGAAGAAGUUGUCAGCUCUGGAACAGGAUUUACAGAUGAUGGUAAGGUACCUAAUGUGACUGCUGGAAUCUGCACUCGGGUCUUCAAGAGCAGCAAGUGCUAUUAGCUGUUGAUGCAUCUCUCCUCCCCUUAAUAGCAUUUCUUAAGCUAAAACAUUCUAAAUAGCAUUCCUUUCUUCAUACCUAUAUCCAGCCACAUGUUUUCAAUUGUUUUUUUUGUUUGUUUUCUUGUUUGUGUGUUUGUUUUUGACAUAGCAUCUCACGAAUCCAUUUUUCCAAAAAAUAAGAUUGAUCUUCUUCUCUUUUUACCUCCUAAUCAUGGGGAGUACAAACAUGGAUUCAUCACGGUCAUAUUCAGUGCUGGGAAUUGACCUUCAUACUUCUCCUAUGUUCACAGUCAUCUGCAACUUUAGUUCAUGGAUUACGAUUAUCUUUCCUGAAAUUUCUUAGAACCAGACACAUGAUGCACAUACUCAUGCACAGGCUGAAUUCUAGUAUACAUAAAAUAAAAUAAAUAAAAAUUCACCUAGUGAAUUCUAUCUCCAGCCCACUAUUGUUAAAAUGGACAUUCACACUUAUCUUACAUUAUUAAACAUGGUCACUUUUCCCUGGAGAAAAAGACACUAUUACAUUUUGUGUUCUACUUUUCCGAGAUUCUUAUUUUGGUAGAUUUAUUUAUGUCAUAUAACUAUCAUCUAUUCCUCGUAUUUCUUUUUUUAUUGUUAAAAUAUCUGGUAUUGCACAGAAUUAUAUAGUAAAGGCCUCUGCAGGCUAGGUCAAAAGUG